AGGAAAGCAAAGGAACCGAUUGGAGCCGAUGGACACCAUAUUUGUUAAACAAGUGAAGGAAGGAGGGCCAGCCUUCGAGGCUGGGUUAUGCACAGGUGACAGAAUUAUAAAAGUCAAUGGAGAAAGUGUCAUAGGAAAGACCUAUUCUCAAGUAAUUGCUCUCAUUCAGAACAGGUAAGAUUCCUGAAACCUGAUUAAUUUGGGCUAAAAACCCUAUAGAACAGGUAGGUUUCAUACAGCGCUGUGCUCUUAGGACUAGGAUGACACAGAAUUUCCCCAGACACUGCUAGUUGUAUAUGGUAUUGCCAAAUGUUAGCUCACUGAUUGCUGAGUGGGUUUGCAAGUUUGUAAUGUUCACAAUGUAAAGUCCUAUGGGCUUAGAGAACACUCAUUAGAGACUUAAAGUAUGACUUUUCUGCUUUGAUUUAAAGGGAUACGUAUAUAAUUUGUUUAAAUAUAGAAAUAAAUGCACACUUGGUUUUCUAAAACAAGUCUUACUGAGAUGCAUACUUUCACUGUAUUUUACUGAGCAGCCUUAUUGAAUAAAAUCAUUGGCUUAUAUUCUUUCAUUUGUUUUAACAUUAAGAUGUUAUUUUUAAAUCCAUGUGCCUAUAAUCUGCAGAA
rnacentral:lncRNA from 1 species